rnacentral:lncRNA from 1 species
AAGGUCUCCCAGGAAUGCCUCCAAGACCUAAAUGCAGAUUCUGGAGCAUCCCCUCGGAUUAAUGGGGUCUCCUAUAACCACUGCCCACUUGCCAUUGGGCUCAGCAGGGUCCGGCUCUCUAGGGUAAUGCCAACCCUGAUCUUUCCCUGCUCCCCAAGACCCCAUAGGCUGCUCUUGCUACCUACUUAGGACUCCAAGCCUGAGACAAAGCCUUUUUUUCUUCAAGAGAAGGUUCUUAAUUUCUAAAGAAAGCCUUUCUACACAGGUUUUCCCUGUAUAUAAGCAGAAUAACUUUUAAAUGCCAAGAAAAGGGAGAAUUUGAGAGAUAACAUAGCAGAAAUUGAGUACAUUUUGCCUCUAGAAUAAAUAUGAAUGACUUUAUCUGUUUAUGUAAAUAUCUGGAACAACAGGUCUGUGGUGGGUGCUGAUGAUUGGUCUGCUCCAUUCCUCUGAAGGAUCUUCAAGUACAGGAGAGUCUGGAAGACUAAAAGAUGCAUUUCCUAGGUUCCCUUGCAGCCAGGAUGCUCUAGGGAGAUCUUGGGAUUUGAAAGGCAGUUGAAGCAGAAACAGUUUCAAGAUUCUGGCUCCAAUGGCUCCCUAAAGAAGAACCCAUUCUGUAAAGUUCUGAGAGUUUUGAUUACUGAAGAUUCCACUCACUGAACUCCUUGUGUAUCAGAAAGUGAGAGAUUUUCUGUCUUCCUGGAAAACCCUUUAUUUAUCAAGGACUCCGCCAUCCUCUUAAGCUCCAAAGCUGCCUCUUCCUUCCCAGUCUCGGCACAGACACUGCUGACACGCCUCUGACCACGAGCAUGUGGCCAGGUCUCCAGAUCCAUGCCUAGCCCAAGGAUCUCAGGACAUAAUUUUCUCUACUUGGAGUUUGGUGAGAACUACGAAUUUCUUAACGUCAUAUUGACUGCUUAAAAUGAAAAAUCCUAAACCUGUGGAGGUCAAGGGUGAAAAGAAUUUUAAUUAUCUUAAAAUAAUGGAGAAAAGGAACAGUAGAGAUUUCAUGACUUUAGCUCCUGGUGAGGUUGAAAAAAUUAAAGGCCAAAGAAAUUAAACUUAUCCUGUAAAUGUAUGGAGCUGGUCAGUGACAAGGACAGGAUGAGGAUCCUGGCUUCCUGGGGUCCUGGUGAUACCGGUUGGUCCUCUCAGCUCUGUGCCAUGCAGCCUGUCCUGGUGUCAUUGCGCACAUGCUGCCCCACAGCAGUCACUCUCAUUUAAAUCCCAAAUGUGGGCAUAUUACAAAUUGCAUGCAAGACAAAAGCAAACUGAUGUCUCAAAAAUGUAGACAGGGCAUGUCAGAAGAGCGGUAUCAGUCAAAAUCAGAUGGUGUCAUAUAGCACCCUGUUGCACAACUACCCAUGAAAAUGCCUUGGUCAGGGAGAGGGGCAGUGUGGAGAACAAAACCACCUUCUGUAAACCAAUUCUACUCCUUUGGGAGAUGACUAUGUAAUGGAUGGUGGAGAGUAGUUUCAGUUCUGUAUGGAACACAACCACUGAGAAUCAUGCUGAUAAUCACAGUAAUUUUAAUACACAUUUUUAAAAAGGGCUUCCUAUAUCCUGGGUGCUAUGUUGUUCCAGUUGUCCAAAUGAAAGCUGAAUUCUGUCCAUUCUACAAUGUAGGUCUGCUAUCUAAAGAAACAUCCAACCUCUAUCUCAGCCAGCUGCCUCUGCUCAUUCAACAGGGUGCCAAUUUUCCUUCACUGUAAGCAUGCACUCUCCCCCUAGAGAGCAAGAUUCAGCAGUUUAGACAACAUGUUUUCUCACCCUUUCAAUAGUCAGACACUGACUAAAAGAAUAAAGGUGACCAAUACACCUUUUACCACCAAAAGCCCUGACUUCUAAACCAGUUGUAUUCUCCACCUGCAUAAUAAUGUAUAUGAUCCACCUCUCUUCACCCAAGAUAGACAUGAGCAAUGGAGUGCACCAGCCCUAGCAGCCAUUGCCUCCCUUUCCCACAUUAAUCCACUUGGCAGGCCAAAGCAAACAUACUGCCCAGGGCUCAUGUACCUGCGCAACUUCUUCCCCCACCCCCACACACAUUGUCUCUGGGCUUGGUUUUAGGUCUUGCUUUGACCCAUGAACAUUAACAAGCGGGAUGUAAACAGAGGCUUGGUAAACCCUUGCGCACUGGAGCUGCCUCUCGUGGUACACUCUGUCGCGAAGUCAGUCUCGUCUCUAUGCUAUAAAGAAACUCCAGCUAGACUGCUGAAGAUGAGAGGGCACAGGCACGGAGCUCUGAAGGUGGGAGCCUUUAGAUGGUCCACGCCAGCUGAGCUGCACGUUAUCUCUCAACCACACAGGUACACCUGAGCAAAAGAAGUGCUUGGCUGAGCCCCGUCCACCCACAGGAUCAUGAGAAAGAAUAAGUAGCUGUUGCUCUAAGUCACUAAGUAUUGGGGUGGCUUGUUACACAGUGAUAGAUAACUAAACUGGUGUAUCUCUACUGGAGGUUUUAAAGAGUCCCUCUAUAUCCUUUCUAUACAAGUGCAGAAACAGAGAAGGGAAAUUAAGGUUUAAAAUAUCCUCCAGGAGUAAUAGUUCUACGUAUCUCAGGCAAAGUCCCUUAGCAAAUUAGUCUUUUUGUUUCUCUCUCUAAUAAUUAAGGAUAAUAGCAACCAAUCCUAUGUAUGUCCACACGUAUAGUGUGAGGUUAGAAGACAUGAUAUAUUUAUUUAUUCAUUUACAUCACAACUUGGUCAAGAGGAGAUUUAGACAGGCUAGGGCAAUUGGUGAAAUAUUUUUCAUGCCCAAUAAAUGAAUGUGGUUCAUUUCAGGUAUUAUUAUAUUUAUUGAAACAUUUCUUCACUUAUAAACCCUCACUGUUUCCUGGUCUCCUCUAUCACAUUCACAUUUUUAUAAGAAAAAAUGUUCCUUGCUUUACCUAAAUAAUUAUUAGCUUGAUUAAUAAUUGAUCCCCUUCUACUGUUUCCAUUUUGAAAUAGAAACACUUGGCUUUCAGCAGUACCUGAUCAGUUUUGGGGGUGAUGGUGAAGUGAUUUAGAAAAGGAGCCAGUGUAAAGAAAGGGGCAGAGUAGGAAAACAGGGCCAAUUUACCAUGUGGCUGGUGACAUGGAGGACUGUCUAACUUUGGGUAGGCUCUCAGCCACACAAGGGCCAACCAUAAAAAUCAUUUAAGGUUGUCACAAGGCAAUAAUUAAUCAUAUAAUGACUCCGCCUCAUUCUCAUCCCUUAGGCUGAAAUAAGAUAACAAAGGAGGUAAAUUGUGUAGAUAAAUUAAAUGCAUUGCAAAUCCAUUCAUCAGUUACUGUGUCUGGUUUUAGAUCAUUAAUGCACAAUAAUAGCCUAUGUGCAGCCCUCCUAGCUUCAUGGUCUGUUCUGAGAUUUUAUCUCAGAGUAAGCAAAGGAACCCAGGAAGAGCCAGGACAGAGAAGGGACACAGGGGGAAGACAGUCGGAGUAGGGAGAAGUUAGGGAAUUCUAGAUGACUUUUCUGUAUGUUUUUUAACCAAUAAAACCUUUGAUAAAUACAUGAGUUAAGCCAAUCUAACUAUUUCAAUUGAUAUUGCUGUGGUUGGUGACACUUUAGAUAUAUCAGUUCUAAGUUCCUAUUGAGUAUCUCUUAGUGGAGAUACUUGAGCAGAUUCAAAAUAGAAUUCUGACUCAGCCAGCUGGGUCUGGUAUAGUCUAAGUCCAUGACAAACUGGAGCGCAAAGAGUGGUCAAUCUUUCUGAUUUUCAUGGCAAAAUCAGUUCUUAUAUUUACUCCUGAAGCACAUGAAUUGUUUUCGCAACAGCCACUUAAAAUACUGGUACUUGUCUUAAAGUGAAACCCUGAACCAGCUAUUAUCCAGCAACUGUCAAAUAGUGAUCAAUGCAAGUGAUAUUUCCAAAAGCUUGUGUACUAAGGGAUAUACUAGAAUGUCUAAGUUCUGUUUGUGCUUUAAGUUUGGACUAUAAGAAUACACCCAAAACAGCAUGCUUGGACUGUAAGAAUACAUGCCCUCAUGGGAAUGUUUUCCAAAGUGACAAUCAGCAUAUGCCACAUUGAUGUUAUACCUCUUGUUGUUGGAUUGAGAGGAAAUGCUAGAAGUUGCUAUAUGGGGGAUGUUUCUCCACCUUGUGCAAAGCCAGUUAAAAAUGUAAAAUAUUCACAUCAACAUUUUUGGUACCCAAAUUCAAGGGAAGAAAGCCAAUUCCCCUCUAGAGCCUCCAGAAAGCAACACAGCCCUGCCAACCCCUUGGUUUUAGCCCAAUGAGACCCAUGUCAGAUUUCUCACCUCCAGACCAUAAUGUAAUAAAUCUGUGUUGCUUUAAGCCACUUACAGCAGCUGAAGGAAGCUAAUACAAUGAGUUAAGUUUGAAGUACCUGUGGGACAUUUAGGAGGAAAGCAACAAAGGGCAAUGGGAUCUUCUGCUCCAGAAUGUGUUUCCUUUUUAAAGUUAAAUAUUGGGUUCCCAACCACAUGCAUCUUUCAUGUGCAAGCUAUGCCUCUUCAAGACUUGGUUUUACUAUUAGUAUUGCACAUUGUACCAGAUAACAGGGGAAACUGUGGUUGGGUGACUCGGGUUGUUAAAUGAUGACUGUAAAACUGUAAGAAUGUGCCAGUCCGCAGCAAAAGCUUCUUGCACGACAAGAGUCAAGGGACAGCCCAGCAUAAGGCUGGGGAACACAGCAGAUCCAUGACUUCCACAUGAUGCCUGGGUUGCAACCUUGCCUACUGACUCCCUAAACUACCUUUGUACACCAAAUUCAGACUUCCCUGCUUCACCAUCUGCAGGAUUCACUUGUCAUUUUUCAGAGAGGUGGCCCACCCCCUACAGUUCCACCAGGUCAGCAGCAGCAGCCGCGGCAGCUUUGUUCCACAGAGCCAGCCUGUG